rnacentral:rRNA from 1 species
GAAUCUGCCCUCAGGAUGGGGACAACAGCUGGAAACGGCUGCUAAUACCCAAUGUGCCGAGAGGUGAAACUUAUAUGGCCUGGGGAUGAGCUCGCGUCUGAUUAGCUAGUUGGUAGUGUAAGGGACUACCAAGGCGACGAUCAGUAGCUGGUCUGAGAGGAUGAUCAGCCACACUGGGACUGAGACACGGCCCAGACUCCUACGGGAGGCAGCAGUGGGGAAUUUUCCGCAAUGGGCGAAAGCCUGACGGAGCAAGACCGCGUGAGGGAGGAAGGCCUACUGGUUGUAAACCUCUUUUGAUAGGGAAGAACACAAUGACGGUACCUAUCGAAUCAGCAUCGGCUAACUCCGUGCCAGCAGCCGCGGUAAUACGGAGGAUGCAAGCGUUAUCCGGAAUUAUUGGGCGUAAAGCGUCCGUAGGUGGUUGUUCAAGUCUUCUGUCAAAGCGCGGAGCUUAACUCCGUAAAGGCAGAGGAAACUGAGCGGCUAGAGUGCGAUAGGGGCAGAGGGAAUUCCCAGUGUAGCGGUGAAAUGCGUAGAUAUUGGGAAGAACACCGGUGGCGAAAGCGCUCUGCUGGGUCUGCACUGACACUGAGGGACGAAAGCUAGGGGAGCGA